rnacentral:rRNA from 1 species
UACGUAGGUGGCAAGCGUUGUCCGGAUUUACUGGGCGUAAAGGGCGUGCAGGCGGUUUGUUAAGUGCAGGGUGAAAGCUCCCGGCUCAACUGGGAGAGGUCCUUGCAUACUGGCAAACUCGAGGGAGGCAGAGGAAAGUGGAAUUCCCGGUGUAGUGGUGAUAUGCGUAGAUAUCGGGAGGAACACCUGUGGCGAAGGCGGCUUUCUGGGCCUUAC